UACGUAGGGUGCAAGCGUUAAUCGGAAUUACUGGGCGUAAAGCGUGCGCAGGCGGUUUUGUAAGACCGAUGUGAAAUCCCCGGGCUUAACCUGGGAACUGCGCUUGAAACUAGCGAGCUUGAGUGUGGCAGGAGGGGGGUGGAAUUCCGACGUGUAGCAGUGAAAUGCGUAGAGAUGUGGAGGAACACCGAUGGCGAAGGCAGCCCCCUGGGUCAACACUGACGCUCAUGCACGAAAGCGUGGGGAGCAAACAGG
rnacentral:rRNA from 1 species